GACGUAGGGUCCGAGCGUUGUCCGGAGUUAUUGGGCGUAAAGGGCGCGUAGGCGGGCUGUCCAGUCUGGGGUGAAAUCCCGCGGCUCAACCGUGGAACUGCCUUAGAUACUGACGGCCUCGAGGGAGAUAGGGGCAUGCGGAACUGUAGGUGGAGCGGUGAAAUGCGUUGAUAUCUACAGGAACUCCGGUGGCGAAGGCGGCGUGCUGGAUCUCUUCUGACGCUGAGGCGCGAAAGCUAGGGGAGCAAACGGG
rnacentral:rRNA from 1 species